rnacentral:rRNA from 1 species
GAACGCUGGCGGCGCGCCUAAUACAUGCAAGUCGAGCGAGAAGGCGUAGCAAUACGCUUGUAAAGCGGCGAACGGGUGAGGAAUACAUGGGUAACCUACCCUUGAGUGGGGAAUAACCAGCCGAAAGGUUGGCUAAUACCGCAUACGAUUCCCGGACUGCGGUUCGGGAAAGAAAGCGUUACCGUGGGUAGCGCGCUCUUGGAUGGGCUCAUGUCCUAUCAGCUUGUUGGUGAGGUAACGGCUCACCAAGGCUUCGACGGGUAGCUGGUCUGAGAGGACGAUCAGCCACACUGGCACUGCGACACGGGCCAGACUCCUACGGGAGGCAGCAGUAAGGAAUAUUGCGCAAUGGGCGAAAGCCUGACGCAGCGACGCCGCGUGGGGGAUGAAGGUCUUCGGAUUGUAAACCCUUUCGGGAGGGAAGAUGGAACGGGUAACCGUUCGGACGGUACCUCCAGAAGCAGCCACGGCUAACUUCGUGCCAGCAGCCGCGGUAAUACGAAGGUGGCAAGCGUUGUUCGGAUUCACUGGGCGUACAGGGAGCGUAGGCGGUUGGGUAAGCCCUCCGUGAAAUCUCCGGGCCUAACCCGGAAAGUGCAGAGGGGACUGCUCGGCUUGAGGAUGGGAGAGGAGCGCGGAAUUCCCGGUGUAGCGGUGAAAUGCGUAGAGAUCGGGAGGAAGGCCGGUGGCGAAGGCGGCGCUCUGGAACAUUUCUGACGCUGAGGCUCGAAAGCGUGGGGAGCAAACAGGAUUAGAUACCCUGGUAGUCCACGCCUUAAACUAUGGAUACUAAGUGUCGGCGGGUUACCGCCGGUGCCGCAGCUAACGCAGUAAGUAUCCCGCCUGGGAAGUACGGCCGCAAGGUUGAAACUCAAA